GUCCCUGUAACGCAAUGGAUAGCGUGUUGAACUGCUAAUCCAAAUAUUGUGGGUUCGAAACCUACCUGGGAUG